UCGUCAGCUCGUGUCGUGAGAUGUUGGGUUAAGUCCCGCAACGAGCGCAACCCUUGUCAUUAGUUGCCAUCAUUAAGUUGGGCACUCUAAUGAGACUGCCGGUGACAAACCGGAGGAAGGUGGGGAUGACGUCAAGUCAUCAUGCCCCUUAUGACCUGGGCUACACACGUGCUACAAUGGACGGUACAACGAGAAGCGAACCUGCGAAGGCAAGCGGAUCUCUUAAAGCCGUUCUCAGUUCGGACUGUAGGCUGCAACUCGUCUACACGAAGCUGGAAUCGCUAGUAAUCGCGGAUCAGCACGCCGCGGUGAAUACGUUCCCGGGCCUUGUACACACCGCCCGUCACACCAUGAGAGUCUGUAACACCCAAAGCCGGUGGGAUAACCUUUAUAGGAGUCAGCCGUCUAAGGUAGGACAGAUGAUUAGGGUGAAGUCGUAACAAGGUAACCGUA
rnacentral:rRNA from 1 species